rnacentral:SRP_RNA from 10 species
GCUGUGGUGGGCACAUGACUGUAGUACCAGCUACUUGGGAGGCUGAGGCAAGAGGAUUGCCUGAGUCCAGGAGUUCUGGGCUAUAGUGUGCUAUGCUGAUUGGGUGUCUGCACUAAGUGUGGCCCCAGUAUGGUGACCUCCUAGGAGUGGGGGACCACCAGGUUGCCUAAGGAGGGGUGAACUGGCCCAGUUUGGAAAUGGAGCAGGUCAAAACUCCCGUGCUGAUCAAUAGUGGGAUUGCACUUGUGAAUAGCCACUGCACUGCAGCCUGGGCAACAUAGUGAGACCCCAUCU